rnacentral:tRNA from 1 species
GAAAUUGGUCUAGUGGUAUGAUUCCCGCUUAGGGUGCGGGAGGUCCGGGGUUCGAUUCCCCGAU